rnacentral:rRNA from 1 species
GAUGAACGCUAGCGGCGUGCCUAAUACAUGCAAGUCGAGCGAACAGAUGAGAAGCUUGCUUCUCUGAUGUUAGCGGCGGACGGGUGAGUAACACGUGGGUAACCUACCUAUAAGACUGGGAUAACUCCGGGAAACCGGGGCUAAUACCGGAUAAUAUUUUGAACCGCAUGGUUCAAUAGUGAAAGACGGUUUCGGCUGUCACUUAUAGAUGGACCCGCGCCGUAUUAGCUAGUUGGUAAGGUAACGGCUUACCAAGGCGACGAUACGUAGCCGACCUGAGAGGGUGAUCGGCCACACUGGAACUGGGACACGGUCCAGACUCCUACGGGAGGCAGCAGUAGGGAAUCUUCCGCAAUGGGCGAAAGCCUGACGGAGCAACGCCGCGUGAGUGAUGAAGGUCUUCGGAUCGUAAAACUCUGUUGUUAGGGAAGAACAAAUUUGUUAGUAACUGAACAAGUCUUGACGGUACCUAACCAGAAAGCACGGCUAACUACGUGCCAGCCGCCGCCGUAA